GCCAGGUGUUGAGAACUGGAAUAAAACGGUGUCUGGGACAGGACAGGGCUGUAGCACUAACAACCCCACAGCAGCUGCAAGUGCAUGCACAAGAUCGACACAAGAUCGAGCCAAUAGGCGUUCUUCCACAGAGUGGGCGGGGCUUCAUGAGCCCUUACCCCUAACUGAAGAGCUAUGGACCGCUGAUGGCUUCUAAUAGAGAGAUAUUGAGUUUACUUUAAGGGUGUGGCUCCCUGGAGGUCAAUCAUACUCCAGUGGAUAGCCCUAAGCCAGUGAGUCCAAACGGACAUUCCAAAUUGGAAUCAAUGAGUUAUUUUCAAACGGGCUUGCAUAUAGUUGUGUGAGUAGGAAGAUGGGGUGAAUCUGAGAGAAGUUAGGGGAGGAGUUGGGGAUUAAUACGAUCAAAAUAUUUUGUAUGAAAGUCUCAAAGAAUUGAUAAAAUAUUUUACAAAACUAAAAAAAGCUCUCAGCUUUACUAUUUACAGGAUAAAUCUGAGGCAAAUCAUUUAAUCCUUUGAUAUUCAUAUUUUCUAUCUUGAUAUUGAGGAUGACAACAGUGCUUGGCUUGUAAUGUUGCUGAGAGUGUUAAAGGAAGUAGGAAGCAGAACAUUUAGUACCGUGCCUGGACCACAGGGCUCACACAAAACAUUAUAGCUACACAAUGCUGCAUUGCAAAGACUGUUAUGCCAGAGACAGAUCAGUAAAGCUCCCCCGAAGAUCAGAGGAAAGACACUGUUUCCUUCCAGUUCUCCACACCUAGCUCGGACACUCUUCCCGGAGGCCCCAGGCAGUUAAAGCCGCGUACUAAAUGACUGGGUGGAGCCGUUAGAAUCUCAGGUGAGGGUCUAUUGUCUUUCCCCACCCCCUCACCUAUGAGGGAAUGAAGACAGCCAAUAGGCACGAUCCUGAGGGAGUCUCGCACGCAGGUGCAACCGAUCUAAUGAAGAUGGUGGCAGUCUCUUCGGAAGACUGCAGUCUAAAACACGAAGUCAGUGUGAGCAGCUUUAAAAUCUAAUUUUGAUCUGUGCCUAGUGAGUGGCUCAGAGAAUCAUAAAAGGUAAAAUGAGUGGGUUCUGGAAGAUCAUGUGACAUGACCACUGUAUACCAGAGAUGAGCCCACUGGGAUCAAGAGAAGGAAGCUGUGCUACACAGAGCCAGGAUUCAAAGGAAAGCUCUCCCGGAUAACAAGCACACAGUCAAACAGCUGCUGAAAAGCCCAUAAAAACUUGCUGUUCAUCAUGUUAUUCAUGUUAGAGAGGGCAACUUGAAAAUUCUUUUCAGCACCUUCGGAUUGUGAUCUCUUACAAAGGACUGGUGCGUCCUAUGUCACUGCAAAUCUAUGGUAAACCUGGAGACACUCAAUAAACUCUAGUACACAGCAGCACUUA